rnacentral:rRNA from 1 species
GACGAACGCUGGCGGCGUGCCUAAUACAUGCAAGUAGAACGCUGAAGGAGGAGCUUGCUUCUCUGGAUGAGUGGCGAACGGGUGAGUAACGCGUAGGGAACCUGCCUGGUAGCGGGGGAGAACUAUUGGAAACGAUAGCUAAUACCGCAGAAGAGUAGAUGUUGCAUGACAUUUGCUUAAAAGGUGCAAUUGCAUCACUACCAGAUGGAGCUGCGGUGUAUUAGCUAGUAGGUGGGGUAACGGCGCACCAAGGCGACGAUGCAUAGCCGACCUGAGAGGGGGGUCGGCCCGCCUGGGACUGGGGCACGGCCCCGGCCCCUGCGGGGGGCAGCCGUAGGGGAUCUUCGGGCAUAGGCGGAAGUCUGGCCGGGCCACGGCGCGUGGGUGGAGAAGGUUUUCGGGUCGUAAAGCUCUGUUGUGGGGGAAGAACGAGUGUGGGAGUGGACUGUUCACACUGUGACGGUACCUUACCAGAAAGGGACGGCUAACUACGUG